AUUGAACGCUGGCGGCAGGCUUAACACAUGCAAGUCGAACGAGUGGCGGAUGGGUGAGUAAUGCCUGGGAAUCUAGCUUAUGGAGGGGGAUAACUACGGGAAACUGUAGCUAAUACCGCGUACCAUAGGAUGAGCCUAAGUGGGAUUAGGUAGUUGGUGGGGUAAAGGCUCACCAAGCCGACGAUCUCUAGCUGGUCUGAGAGGAUGACCAGCAGCACUGGGACUGAGACACGGCCCAGACUCCUACGGGAGGCAGCAGUGGGGAAUAGUGCGCAAUGGGGACAAGCUGACGCAGCCAUGCCGCGUGAGUGAAGAAGGCCUUCGGGUUGUAAAGUGCUUUCGGUAGCGAAGCGUUACCUACAGAAGAAGCACCGGCUAACUCCGUGCCAGCAGCCGCGGUAAUAC
rnacentral:rRNA from 1 species